GCAAACUUGGUCAUUUAGAGGAAGUAAAAGUCGUAACAAGGUCUCCGUUGGUGAACCAGCGGAGGGAUCAUUACAGGGUCUUACGACUGCCCAAAACCAACCGUGCUCCUUUCCUUUUAUCUUGCUUCGGUGAUCGCCUGCUGGGGAGGCCACCGGCCGGGCGUCAUGCCUGGUGGUUGCCGAAGCAUACCUAUCCAAAACUUUACUUUGCAACGUAUCUUCUGAGAACUUUCUAUAAAAGAACAAUCACAACUCACAACAAUGGAUCUCUUGGCUCUGGCAUCGAUGAAGAACGCAGC
rnacentral:misc_RNA from 1 species